AAGUCAUGGGAGCAUGGGGUGGUGAGGAGAUAGAGGCUUUGGGGCUGGGUAGAGUUGAAGUCCCUUCACAACGUUCGUGUUGCACGUUAUGGGAUCUCCACUGAAGCUUUUGCUUAGAAAAGGAAUCCUUCUCAACCAAGAGAUGAGUUGGAAAUCAAGAAAUUCCUUGGAAACACUACUUGCCUCGAGCUUUUUGUGACCGAAGUCAGUGCAUGAGGCUCAAAGUUGUGCUAAGAGUUGGAAAGAAAGAAAAGAAAGAACAAGAUCAUGAUCGUGAUUCUUGCUUCCACGGAGCUUAGAAGCUUCUCCAGGGAAAACACAAAGAAAGCAACACAGAACAAUGUAAAAUCUACAGAAACAAAAAGUAGGUUACAGUCUCACGUGUUUUGGAGCUCCACGAGCCGUAAAAUGAUCUGCCCAAAGGGAAGAAGAUGGUAUAGCUAUUGUUGAAAAAUUACCGAGUAAUGAUCUCCUGGGAAGAUCUCCUUAUGUUUCAUUAGAAUUGUAAUUAGAAGUGGCCGUGACCUUGGAAAACCUGCUUCAGGAGCAAGCUCUCCUCUCUUUUGUUUAAGAAAAACCUCUAAGUUUCCCCUACUCAUGGGCCCGAGGCAAUGUUAACCCAACUCCAUAGAAAGAACAUAAUAAAGCAUUCAAAAUGCACUUCUCUGCCGCAAUAAACUGAAAUACGCAAAUACA